rnacentral:rRNA from 1 species
UUCUUCGGAUUCCUUGGSCKCAUCGHCHGCGCGUCAUCGCCHCAGACUGCCUCGCGGCCGAUUGACGAACUCUGGACAACUAAGCCGACCGCGCUCCUUUUAUCAAGGCAGGCGACGCGAGUCACGAGCGACCGGCCUAUCACGACUUGUCGGUGGGCUAGUGGCCCACGGCGGUUACGACGGGUGACGGGGAAUCAGGGUUCGAUUCCGGAGAGGGAGCACGAGAAACGGCUACCACAUCCAAGGAAGGCAGCAGGCGCGCAAAUUACCCACUCCCGGAUCGGGGAGGUAGUGACGAGAAAUACACGUGCCUCGGCGGUUCUCGCCGCCGUACGGCAACGCUGAAUGGGUGGGACGUGAACAGUCCACACGACGAUCUACCGAAGGGCAAGCCUGGUGCCAGCAGCCGCGGUAAUUCCAGCUUCGGCAGCGUACACGAACGUUGUUGCGGUUAAAAAGCUCGUAGUCCAAGCGCUGUCGCACUUGUGUGGCGACUCCUGUGGUACCAUGAAGAAAUCGGCGAGAUUCAGUCCAUGGCAGCGCCAAUUUAUGUGGCCGCCGUACGUACGUUCGUGGGAUAUCGGAAGAAGGCCGUGUGGCAGGCGUUCCUAGCGUUCGUCUGUUCGCCGGCAAUGAUCUGUGGGGAUGACGCGGGCCGUUCGUAUUGCGAGGCGAGAGGUGAAAUUCGUAGACCCCCGCAAGACGACCAACGGCGAAGGCAAACGGCCGCUGCAUUCCCGUCGAUCAAGAGCGAAAGUCGGAGGCGCGAAGACGAUCAGAUACCGUCCUAGUUCCGACCGUAAACUUUGCCGUCUCGACCGGCGGUCAACAUACACCGUCAAACGCAUCGCGGGCCUUAGCGGCGCCGCGUUGCUGGUAGUCGACGUACAUUGGGCCCCUUAGGGGGACUCAGCGUUGACGACCGUCGGUCGCCCUCGAAAGAAUCAAGAUCGGUUCCGGGGGAAGUACGGUCGCAAGCGUGAAAGUUAAAGGCAUUGACGGAAGGACACCACAAGGUGUGGAGCAUGCGGCUCAAUUCGACUCAACGCGCGGAACCUUACCCGGUCCGGACACCGGCAGGACGGACAGACUUCGGCUCUUUCUCGAUUCGGUGAUUGGUGGUGCAUGGCCGUUCUUAGUUGGUGGAGUGAUUUGUCUGGUCGGUUCCGAUAACGAGCGAGAUUCCUGCCCGGUAGCAGCGCGCGUAUUUUUAUCAGCGUGCGCACUUUGUACGAUACGCUACGCGGGGAUGACGACGAGCGUUUGVCHHGCVMCADBGUUCGUSUWCGCKGSSGWCUACGAAUUUCACCUCUCGCCUCGCAAUACGAACGGCCCGCGUCAUCCCCACAGAUCAUUGCCGGCGAACAGACGAACGCUAGGAACGCCUGCCACACGGCCUUCUUCCGAUAUCCCACGAACGUACGUACGGCGGCCACAUAAAUUGGCGCUGCCAUGGACUGAAUCUCGCCGAUUUCUUCAUGGUACCACAGGAGUCGCCACACAAGUGCGACAGCGCUUG